rnacentral:rRNA from 1 species
UACAGAGGUCCCAAGCGUUGUUCGGAUUCAUUGGGCGUAAAGGGUGCGUAGGCGGCGCGGUAAGUCGGGUGUGAAAACCCGUGGCUCAACCAUGUGGUCUGCAGUCGAUACGGGCAGGCUAGAAUUCGGUAGGGGAGACUGGAAUUCCUGGUGUAGCGGUGAAAUGCGCAGAUAUCAGGAGGAACACCGGUGGCGAAGGCGGGUCUCUGGGCCGAUAUUGACGCUGAGGAGCGAAAGCGUGGGGAGCGAACAGG